ACAGCUUGGACAAAAGUCUAUAGCCAGUGCAUUCCUAGCUCCCCUUGCACUAAGGCAGGCUGAGGCAGAGGGGAAGACAUUUUAGCCUUGUGCUCUUCUAGUUGCUAAAGCGCUGGGCUGCCGGGCUGCCGGGCUGUGGGAGUCAUGAGGCGGCCCU
rnacentral:sRNA from 1 species